rnacentral:tRNA from 1 species
GGAGGAGUGGCAGAGCGGCUUAAUGCGGCGGUCUUGAAAACCGUUGGGCGUGAGAGCGUCCCGUGGGUUCAAAUCCUACCUCCUCCGCCA